GUAGGUGGCAAGCGUUGUCCGGAAUUAUUGGGCGUAAAGCGCGCGCAGGCGGUCCUUUAAGUCUGAUGUGAAAGCCCACGGCUCAACCGUGGGGGGUCAUUGGAAACUGGGGGACUUGAGUACAGAAGAGGAAAGCGGAAUUCCAAGUGUAGCGGUGAAAUGCGUAGAGAUUUGGAGGAACACCAGUGGCGAAGGCGGCUUUCUGGUCUGUAACUGACGCUGAGGCGCGAAAGCGUGGGGAGCAAACAGGAUUAGAUACCCUGGUAGUCCACGCCGUAAACGAUGAGUGCUAAGUGUUAGGGGUUUCCGCCCCCUUAGUGCUGCAGCUAACGCAUUAAGCACUCCGCCUGGGGAGUACGGCCGCAAGGCUG
rnacentral:rRNA from 1 species